GAUGAAGAACGCAGCGAAAUGCGAUAAGUAGUGUGAAUUGCAGAAUUCAGUGAAUCAUCGAAUCUUUGAACGCACAUUGCGCCCCUUGGUAUUCCAUGGGGCAUACCUGUUCGAGCGUCAUUUGUACCUUCAAGCUUUGCUUGGUGUUGGGUGUUUGUCUCGCCUUUGCGUGUAGACUCGCCUUAAAACAAUUGGCAGCCGGCGUAUUGAUUUCGGAGCGCAGUACAUCUCGCGCUUUGCACUCAUAACGACGACGUCCAAAAGUACAUUUUUACACUCUUGACCUCGGAUCAGGUAGGGAUACCCGCUGAACUUAAGCAUAUCAAUAAGCGGAGGA
rnacentral:misc_RNA from 1 species